UCGGAAGCUGUGAAUCGGAAGCCAACUUCAGCGUCGUGCUGAAGGUUUCGUCUGAGUCGGAUGUCCGGGAUAAGUCAGUUGAAAGGUUUUUCUGAGGGAUAGCUUACUCGUCUUUUGACCCUCGCUGGUUGAUGGGGAGAUUCGUAACGAACCGUUAAAAACGGAUGGAUUCUUCUGAACCGUCGGAGCUGAAGGAGUCUGGUUCUCCCCACCCUCCAGGACCUCUGUAAGUAACCAUGAACAGGGACAUGAUGUUAGAAGCGCGGGUGCCGUCUGGAUUUGUUGGACGCCGGCAGGAAAUGCUGAGGUUCCCGUGGUCGCCCAGCUGUCAGGUAUUUUGUCCCCCCUUGUACAAAGAGUGAAAUACCUACCCCCACCACCCAACUCACACGACGGUUAGAAACAUGGAUGGUGUCUGGACUUGUUGGACGUCGGCGAUAAAUGUAUCCGGUUUCUACCAUUAGCGGAGGUUCCCGUGGUCGUCCAGCUGUCAGAAGCUGAUGGAUCCGCAGCAUCACCCCUUCUCCCCUCGGAUGCGCAUAGAAACCGGACACAACCUCGGGCGGAUAAAAAGAUGCAUUUAACCUCUAUUAAUAAAGACCCUCAAGCGAUA